rnacentral:rRNA from 1 species
UACGUAGGUGGCAAGCGUUGUCCGGAUUUAUUGGGUUUAAAGGGUGCGUAGGCGGUCUUCUAAGUCAGUUGUGAAAUACUUCAGCUUAACUGGAGAGGUGCAAUUGAUACUGGAAGACUUGAGUACUGAUGAGGUAGGCGGAAUGGACGGUGUAGCGGUGAAAUGCUUAGAUAUCGUCCAGAACACCGAUAGCGAAAGGCAGCCUUACUAAGGAGUAACUGACGCUGAGGCACGAAAGUGUGGGGAUCAAACAGG